UACGGAGGAUGCGAGCGUUAUCCGGAUUUAUUGGGUUUAAAGGGUGCGUAGGCGGGAUGCCAAGUCAGCGGUAAAAAUGCGGUGCUCAACGCCGUCGAGCCGUUGAAACUGGCGUUCUUGAGUGGGCGAGAAGUAUGCGGAAUGCGUGGUGUAGCGGUGAAAUGCAUAAAUAUCACGCAGAACUCCGAUUGCGAAGGCAGCAUACCGGCGCCCUACUGACGCUGAGGCACGAAAGCGUGGGUAUCGAACAGG
rnacentral:rRNA from 1 species